rnacentral:rRNA from 1 species
UACAGAGGUCCCGAGCGUUGUUCGGAUUUAUUGGGCGUAAGGGUGCGUAGGUGGCAAAGUAAGUUGGAUGUGAAAUCCUGGGCUUAACCUCAGAAUUGCAUUCAAUACUGCUUAGCUAGAGAGCUGUAGAGGAGACUGGAAUUUACGGUGUAGCAGUGAAAUGCGUAGAUAUCGUAAGGAACACCAGUGGCGAAAGCGAGUCUCUGGGCAGCAUCUGACACUGAGGCACGAAGGCCAGGGAGCAAACGGG